CGCCUGUUUAUCAAAAACAUCUUUUCUUGUUAGUUUUUGAAGUAUGGCCUGCCCGCUGAUUUUAGGUUGAAGGGCCGCGGUAUUUUGACCGUGCAAAGGUAGCAUAAUCAUUAGUUCUUUAAUUGUGAUCUGGUAUGAAUGGCUUGACGAGGCAUGGGCUGUCUUGGAUUGGGACUGUUUAUUGAAUUUGGUUUUUGAGUUAGAAUUCUUAAAUGUUUUUGUGGGACGAGAAGACCCUAUAGAGUUUAACAUUUAUUUAUACAGCUGGUUUUGGUUUGUUGUGUAGUUGCUUUGUGUUAAUGUGUUUUGUUGGGGUGAUGGGAAGAAUUUUCUUAACUCUUCUUUAUUUUGGUAUAUUGAUUUGUAUUGGUUUUGAUCCAUUUAUUUUGAUUAUAAGAUUAAAUUACCUUAGGGAUAACAGCGUAAA
rnacentral:rRNA from 1 species